CCGCUCGUAGCUCAGCUGGAUAGAGCACCAGGCUUCGAACCUGGGUGUCGGGAGUUCGAAUCUCUCCGGGCGGGCCA
rnacentral:tRNA from 4 species